UACCGGCGCUUGGAAGCCGCCGACGUCCGAUUGCCCGCCCGUCCCCCGCUUGGCAGUCGGACCCGGACAAAGGCCUUAUCCCCCUCUCCGGGCCUUUGUCCCCUCUUUCAGUGCCGCCAUGGCUCGCCUCCAGGCCAUGGCGGCCUCCC
rnacentral:sRNA from 1 species